CUGCUCAGUCCCCAGGAAUGGCUGUACAAGGAAGCAUCUGUCUAGGACGGAAAGGGAGAAGUAGAGUGACUAUAUUUUAGAAGGGAAACGUGAACCUGAUUGCCUCAAACUAUCCUGCUGCUCCAGUGGAUAUCAGCAGUUAUGAAUGCAGCAGCCUCUUGGCCAGCGCAUGUACUUUUCAUGAAGUCAUUCCCUGAAGAUUCUGACAGGUUUGCAAAGACAAUUGUACAAAACAAUACUGUCUGAAACUUACAAUGCUAACGCAUGCGUGGAAGA